GAUCCUGGCUCAGGACGAACGCUGGCGGCGUGCCUAACACAUGCAAGUCGAACGAAGCACUGUGGAUAGAGACUUCGGUCAAUUGAAACUUUGACUUAGUGGCGGACGGGUGAGUAACGCGUGAGGAACCUGCCUUUCAGAGGGGGGACAACAGUUGGAAACGACUGCUAAUACCGCAUGACACAGCGAGAUCGCAUGGUCUUGCUGUCAAAGAUUUAUCG
rnacentral:rRNA from 1 species